rnacentral:rRNA from 1 species
UACGUAGGGGGCUAGCGUUGUCCGGAAUCAUUGGGCGUAAAGCGCGUGUAGGCGGUCCGGUAAGUCCGCUGUGAAAGUCGGGGGCUCAACCCUCGGAUGCCGGUGGAUACUGUCGGGCUUGAGUACGGAAGAGGCGAGUGGAAUUCCUGGUGUAGCGGUGAAAUGCGCAGAUAUCAGGAGGAACACCAAUUGCGAAGGCAGCUCGCUAGGACGGAACUGACGCUGAGGCGCGAAAGCCAGGGGAGCAAACGGG